CCUCACUGAGCCUGGACCACACAGAUGGUAUGGCUGGAAAAACAGCCUUAAAUUUAAGAUGGCCAAUUAUCGCACAAAGCUUCGAAAAGCUAGAUGUGAGGAUGUAGCAAUCAAUGGUGGCAAAAGAAGUAAAGGCAACCCAGAGGGAGAAUCCUCAAGCAAGAAUCUCAAACGGCCAAAAAGAGGUGAAGCAAACUACCUGCCUAACUUACCUGAAGGACAUGAUGAAACAAGCCUUGAAAAUGCCAGAAUGGUUCUAGUGGAAGAAAUGAAGAAAAAACAACCAAAUGGCACUCUCAUUUCACAAAUGAUGGACCAAUCAUUCCCAUUACGCAGACAAGAAAUUGUAAAAAAAGGAGCCUGCUGUACAGACCAUGGUUGAACGAUGGCCAGCACUCUUUACAGAGAGACAGGUGUUUGCUGAGUUUAAUAGAAUCGCCAGUAAGAAUCUUGAGGGAGACUUCUUUGAGGCUCUGGACCAGUACGCCCCACGUUUCAUAGAACUUUUCAAAACAAAAAAGGGAACUGUUGGCCAGAAACUCAGGGAGCUGAUGCAGCACAUGUAGACACCAGACGUGGCAGUACUUCGCUCUGUUGUCCUCAAAGGCAUUCCCAUUUUACUCGGUGACGACUCCAGUGAAUUCUACAAGACCUGCUCUGAUACAGCAAGAGACGAGGCCCUAGAAUGCAUCACUGUUGGUGUGCUGACAGUUGUCAGUGAAGAUAGUCCCCACGAGGGUCAAAGCUCAGUGGACCUCCAGCCGAUCUCCACUGCCAUCAUUCUGGAGGGAGGUAUUGUCAUGGAUCAUAUUAAAAACUUGCCUCAGGCAGUUUGUCUGUUGUUUGGGCUUACAUAUGCAUUGCAUUUGGAUUACCCAAAAUGCAUGGCAAAUACACUCAACUUCAUUCAGACUGUGAUGCUUGGACUAGGAAA